AGCGAACGCUGGCGGCAGGCCUAACACAUGCAAGUCGAACGAAGUCUUCGGACUUAGUGGCGGACGGGUGAGUAACACGUGGGAACGUGCCUUUAGGUUCGGAAUAACUACGGGAAACUUGUGCUAAUACCGAAUGUGCCCUUCGGGGGAAAGCUUUAUCGCCUUUAGAGCGGCCCGCGUCUGAUUAGCUAGUUGGUGAGGUAAAGGCUCACCAAGGCUACGAUCAGUAGCUGGUGGGAGAGGAUGACCAGCCACAUUGGGACUGAGACACGGCACAAACUCCUACGGGAGGCAGCAGUGGGGAAUCUUGCGCAAUGGGCGAAAGCCUGACGCAGCCAUGCCGCGUGGAUGAUGAAGGUCUUAGGAUUGUAAAAUCCUUUCACCGGUGAAGAUAAUGACUGUAGCCGGAGAAGAAGCCCCGGCUAACUUCGUGCCAGCCGCCGCCGUAAGAC
rnacentral:rRNA from 1 species